GAUGAACGCUGGCGGCGUGCCUAAUACAUGCCAGUCGAGCGAACGGACGAGAAGCUUGCUUUUCUGAUGUUAGCGGCGGACGGGUGAGUAACACGUGGAUAACCUACCUAUAAGACUGGGAUGACUUCGGGAAACCGGAGCUAAUACCGGAUAAUAUUUUGAACCGCAUGGUUCAAAAGUGAAAGACGGUCUUGCUGUCACUUAUAGAUGGAUCCGCGCUGCAUUAGCUAGUUGGUAAGGUAACGGCUUACCAAGGCAACGAUGCAUAGCCGACCUGAGAGGGUGAUCGGCCACACUGGAACUGAGACACGGUCCAGACUCCUACGGGAGGCAGCAGUAGGGAAUCUUCCGCAAUGGGCGAAAGCCUGACGGAGCAACGCCGCGUGAGUGAUGAAGGUCUUCGGAUCGUAAAACUCUGUUAUUAGGGAAGAACAUAUGUGUAAGUAACUGUGCACAUCUUGACGGUACCUAAUCAGAAAGCCACGGCUAACUACGUG
rnacentral:rRNA from 1 species